GCAGACACAUUCCAGCCAAUCAGCAGCAGACCCUCCCUCCCAAACCCUCCCACCUCCUGGACAGCAUCCAUUUUGAAGCUGCAUUCUUAGUGAGCUGUCCAGGAGGUGGGAGGGUCUGGGAGGGAGGGAGGGACUGCUGCUGAUUGGCUGGAAUGUGUCU